GGGGGGAAGAUGUUUCCUUCCAGACCCCAUGGUAUUGAACUUACGGGCUCUUUUUCUUUCAUAAUUUUGGACCAUAAUAUCCCUACUCAAAUAUGCUAUUGUUAGAAAUACCCAUUGAUUCAUCUCUGCGCCUCUUCUCGCGCCUUCUUUCAUAGAUAGCAUUCUCCAAGAAAAACUAACCCGCCUCUUUUUCGCGCCUUUCAUCAGUCACAGAUCUAUAUACUGAUCCCCCUUCACUUACAAAGACCCCAAAGAACUCGAACAAAGCAUAUUCUUGCAAAGCAACUAUCAUUCAGGUUUGAACAAUAUCCAUUGUUUACCUUUUCUCAUUGUGUGAAUGGUAUAUGAUUUGAGCCUUUUCUUCUUCUUGUUUAUCUGGUGAUUGAUUAAUUGUGCUUUUGAUUUUGAUUGAUUCUUCAAUUGAUUUUGCUUUAGGGAUUCUAAACUAGCAAUAAGCUAUAAAAAAAACCCAGAUCUGUAAGAAGAAUCUUCAAUUAAUUUGAUAUGUAUAAAUGAGACAUCUUGAGUUUGUUUUUGAUGGUGAGAUAGAGGAUUUAUAUAUUGGUUAUGAGAAAUUUUGGAUAUUUAUAUUUGUGGAGUCCUUGAAAGUUAAUAUUCUGUGUAAUUUUCCAUUUGUGAUAUGUGGUUUUGUGGGAAAUCUUGUGAUGGAAAUUAGGUUUUACGAUAUCUAAUAAAACCUCCACUAAAGAGAAACAUGAUCAGGUGUUCAUUGUAUUUCAAUUAAAUACUUCAUGACUAAAAGAAACCAAUAAUGUCGUGCUUAGCUAUAUGUUAUUUGUAUGUCUUGCUUACUAGUAGUGAGUAUCAAAUACUCUUUUGGUAGCUUGGAUCUUGUAGUGUAUAUGUUUAGUUUGUCCACCUUAGUUAUAGGAGCUGCAUCUGUCAUGCACUUGUGUGUACAACUGAACUGUACAUCACACUGGUAUUGUUUUGUGUCAAUCAUAUUCUUAUGUUGGAGCUAUGGCUAGCAGAAUCUUGUCAAGGACUAAAAAGAUUCUUAGAAUGUUGGACGAUGUUAAGGAUUUAUUCAACUUUGUCAUCAUGAUAUACGUUAUCAUGUAUAUCAUUGCUGAAAGACAUUAUCGCAAGUACCGUCUGAAAUCAAAGUCUAUUAAUGAUUAUUUUUCAAGAGUCAGUAAUUUUCAACGCAUGGUGUAUGCGAGUGAUGUAAGGUGCGUAAAUGAGCUACGGAUGGAUAGGUAUACGUUUUGCAAAUUAUGCUCUAUGAUACGAACAUCUGGUAGAUUGCGAGAUACUAGAAAUGUUUCCAUGGAUGAAAUGAUAGCCAUGUUCUUGAACAUACUUGCACACGAUGAAAAGAAGCGAGUCAUACAAGACAAGUUUUUACGUUCAGGGGAAACUAUUAGUAGGUACUUUAAUGCAGUUUUAGAGGCAGUCAUAUGUCUUCAAGGACAAUUAUUAAAAUCACCAUAACCAGUGGCUGAGGACUCAACUGAUGAGAAAUGGAAAUUUUUUAAGAAUUGUCUUGGAGCGUUAGAUGAGACAUAUAUUAGAGUACAUGUACCUGAAGUUGAGAAGCCUAGGUACCGGUCUAGGAAGAAUGAAAUUGCUACUAAUGUCUUGGGAGUAUGCUCUCAAGAUAUGCAAUUCAUCUAUGUACUGCCAGGUUGGGAGGGUUCUGCUGCAGAUUCUAGAGUGCUUCGUGAUGCCAUUAGUAGGAGACAUGGUCUUAGAGUCCCUCACGGACAUUAUUAUCUUGUUGAUGCCGGAUAUCCAAAUGGGGAAGGCUUUCUUGCCCCAUUUAGAGGGCAGCGAUAUCAUUUAAACGAGUGGAGAGAAGGAUGCCAGCCUACCUCUGCUGAAUAGUUUUUUAAUAUGAAGCACUCAUCUGCUAGGAAUGUGAUAGAGAGGUGUUCUGGAUUACUUAAGUUACGGAUGAGUUCAGGAAAUGCUACUCGUAAAAGAAAGCAACCAGCUGAACAACACAACUGGACCCCUCGUGAAGAUGUUGCUCUAGUUGAGGCAUUAACAGAAAUAUGUCUUGGUGGCUACUGGAAGGUUGACAAUAGCUUCAGAUGUGGAUACUUGGGUAGACUUGAGCAGAUUAUAGAGCAGAAGAUACUAGGAUGUGGGCUUAAGGAAAAGCCCCAUAUUGAGUCUCGUUUGAGGACAUUGAAGAAACAAACACUUGCCAUCUACGACAUGCUUUCUAACUCAAGUAGUUUUUCAUGGAACCAUGAAGAGAAAAUGGUGGUAUGUGAAAAGUAAGUGUUUGACGAUUGGGUUAAGGUUCAUAAGGAUGCAAAAGGACUAAAAAUGAAACCAUUCAUUCAUUAUGAUAGCUUGAUUGAAGCUUUUGGAAGAGAUCGUGCAAAUGGACUAGGAGCUGAAGGACCGGGUGAAGCAGAUGAAGAUCUAAAUGACAAUGAUUAUGUUGAUAUUGAAGAACAUGGUUUGGAUGAAAACACAGGUUCUUCCAAUGUUAUUCGAACACCUGCAUUCCCACCUUUUGCUCGAACUAGGAAGCGAGCGAGAGAUGCUUAUUCUCAAUGUUUGGGAGACAUGGCUAUUACAUUACGCUCUUUUGUGGAUGUGACCAAUGCACAUUUGGAGACAAUGCAAGGAGUACUCAUGAAUGAGCAUAUGACAUCUGAAAGAAGAGGUAAGAUAGUUGAGGAGCUUAUGAAAAUUGAAGGCAUAAAUGAUUAUGAUGUGUUAGAUGCAGUUGCUGAGAUUAUUCGAGAUGACUCCAAGAUUAACCUCUUGUUCACUUUGCCUGCCAACCUAAAAAUUAAAUGGAUCCAUAACUUGCUUGCCCAAGUUAGGAAAUAAUUGUUGGGUUGAGUUUUCUUUUGUAUUGCUCCUGAGAAUAUGGUGACUUGAGUAAUUAUAUUUUGAACUUAUUUAAAGACUUACCUAUGUUAUCUAUGUUGGAAUUCUGAUCAAUAUAAGGUUAUUAUAUAUUAUGAACAUUAACUAUGGUAUUGAAGAGAUAUGGAUGAUGUUUUGAAUCAA